UUCUGGCUCAGGAUGAACGCUAGCUACAGGCUUAACACAUGCAAGUCGAGGGGCAGCAGAUCGAAAGCUUGCUUUGAUGCUGGCGACCGGCGCACGGGUGAGUAACGCGUAUCCAACCUUCCCUAUAGUAGAGAAUAGCCCGGCGAAAGUCGGAUUAAUGCUCUAUGUUGUAUUUAGAGGACAUCUGAAGAAUACCAAAGGUUUACCGCUAUAGGAUGGGGAUGCGUCUGAUUAGGUUGUUGGCGGGGUAACGGCCCACCAAGCCCACGAUCAGUAGGGGUUCUGAGAGGAAGGUCCCCCACAUUGGAACUGAGACACGGUCCAAACUCCUACGGGAGGCAGCAGUGAGGAAUAUUGGUCAAUGGACGCAAGUCUGAACCAGCCAAGUAGCGUGCAAGGAUGACGGCCCUAUGGGUUGUAAACUGCUUUUAUGCGGGAAUAAAGUCAGGUACGUGUACCUGUUUGUAUGUACCGCAUGAAUAAGGACCGGCUAAUUCCGUGCCAGCCGCUGC
rnacentral:rRNA from 1 species